AUUGAACGCUGGCGGCAGGCCUAACACAUGCAAGUCGAGCGAGCGGCGGACGGGUGAGUAAUGUAUGGGGACUGCCCGAUAGAGGGGGAUAACUACUGGAAACGGUAGCUAAUACAGCAUACUAUCGGAUAACCCAUAUGGGAUUAGCUAGUAGGGGAGGUAUUGGCUCACCUAGGCGACGCUCCAUAGCUGGUCUGAGAGGAUGAUCAGCCACAUGGGGACGAAGACACGGCCCAGACUCCUACGGAGACAGCAGUGGGGAAUAUGGCACAAUGGGUGCAAGCCUGAUGCAGCCAUGCCGCGUGUAUGAAGAAGGCCCUAGGGUUGUAAAGUACUUUCAGUCGGGAGGCGUUACCGACAGAAGAAGAACCGGCUAACUCCGAGCCAGCAGCCGCGGUAAUAC
rnacentral:rRNA from 1 species